UUUGAAGCCCAUGAGGAUGAGAACCUCCGGGGGCUGGGAGGUUCGACUCGAGCGAAGCGAGAGAACGUUGCGCCAGCAACGGCCCGCAGGGCGAGCCACGAAGUGGCGAGUAAUCCUCUAUCACCGACCA
rnacentral:sRNA from 1 species